rnacentral:ncRNA from 1 species
CAGUCACCGAUGAAGGGAAAAGUACUUAUUCCCCGGGCAGUUAGAGAGGAGGCGCCACUGGCUGAAAGCGCUUCUCUGCACCAGAAUAAGGAAAGACACCCGGAGGUUCCGGAUCGAAAUCCAGAUCGGAUAAUAGAGCCGGACGGUUCGCCAGCCGAUACCUGGCGUUGAGUGGAAGGCAUCGUGCCUUCAAUUAGGGUGGUACCACGGGAAUUGUGAACCAAUCUCUCGUCCCUGAC